rnacentral:tRNA from 1 species
GCUGGCGUAGCUCAACGGUAGAGCAACUGAUUUGUAAUCAGUAGGUUGUAGGUUCAAUUCCUAUCGCCAGCC